GAGAUUGCAAAGAGAAUCAAAGAGAUGAUGAGCAAUGAGUCUUUGAGGGUCAAAGCUGGAGAAAUGAAGGAGGCAGCCAAGAAGGCUUGUGGUGUUGGUGGGAGUUGUGAGGUUAUCAUUAAGAGACUAAUGGAGGAGUGGAAGAGGAAUGCUCAAGUCACAUGAGCAUUAGGGUUUAUGGUUUAGCACUCAAUACUAUUUUGCCUAUUCACAAUAUUAUGUUUAAGUGAAUUUGAAUUUAUGUAAGAAAAGAAUAUUAAUUUAGUGUUCGUUAUGGAUGUUUUGUGUUGCUCUCGUCGAAAUAAGGUCUGAUGAAUUUUGAGAUGGUUAUCAGAUCAUAUCCUUGUAAGUUUUAUGGAGCGGCUCAAAGGAAAAUAAAGGUUCCACUUGCAGAAGAUUAUCCGAUACUCAAGUCAAUGAGAACAUAAAUAUAGUAUAUAAAGUAAGUAUAGUGUAAAAUAUGAGUUGAAUUUACUUCCUCAAUGUAGUGGUCUAUUUAUAAGUUUUCAUGGGCUUGAACAAAUGAUAUUGGUUUUCAAUGGCCUUCAUGAGGCAUAAUUAAUUUUAAUCAUUGCAUAACAAAAUUCAAGUAUAAUGUAAUAAAAUCAGAGUAUUAUGUGAUAAAAUCUAAAUAUAAAGGAAUUAUAUAAUGACACCUGAAUAUUUUAUUAUUAAAGUGAAAAAAACUAUAUAAAUAGAAAAUUAGUUAUUCAGGUUUCAUUUUAAAAGAACCACCAUCUGUCUAGAAAUUUCUUUUUCCUUUCCUCUCCCUUCUCUCUAAGAUUCUGACCUCCUCGCUUAUCAGUUUGAUUAUCAGAGUCUGUCAUUGGACUCCUAGCAGUGAACUCUACUAGAUUGCCCGAUCAGAAUCUUAGAUAGAGUAAGUUCAUUCUUGGCUCAUUUUUCUUUGAGUUAGUUUUGAUUUGGUUAGGGUUGUCUUUUAGUUAAGUUUGCAUGUUAGGUUUUUAUCUUCAUAAUUAGUCUUUGUUAGAUCAUGGUCCUAGUGAUAUAGUUAGAUUUGUGAUCAAGACUUUGUGGUGCAGGUUAGGUUAUCCUUAAGCUUUUGGUGGGUUGGAGCUCUUAGUGAGCAUAUGCUCAAGUACAGGUAAGGGAAGCUAGUUUUAUUUUUAAAAUAGAACCCUAGGUUAGAAGAUCUGGAUGUGGGGUGACGUGGUCAUCAAUUCCAAUUUUUGCUUGCAGAAUUGUCUCUUUUGAAAAGUAAAGUAAUAUAUUGACUGGAAUGGUUGAUUUUGAAUCUUUUAUAUUGAUUUUAAGGUGAAUAAUUUGUUGAAAGUGUUUGUGAUUGAGAAGUGAAAUUGUUUGAAUGAUGAUAUAAAUGAGUUGAAUUGUUUUUUAAUAUUUACUUAAAUGAGAUGUUUGAUUUAGAGAGCAUAUAUUUGGAACUUAGUUAUGUGUUUAAUUGAAUUUUGAGAUAUAUUUGGAUUGUUUAGAAAGUUUAAAAUAUUUUGUGAUUAAAUGAUGCAUUGAUGUGUUAAAUUAUGUAUGUAAUGAGGUGAAAGUGUGGUCAAGACAUAGUAUUUUCAGGAAAGGAAAUACCGUGUUGAGAUUGUUAUUAGGGUGUAUUGAUUUGUAAGUGUCUUGUGAAUGAGACGAUCCUAACUCUACUGAUAUAAUGGAAUCACAUAGAUGAAGCUAUUCAGUUGGUGAGAGUCGAAGGAAGUUCAUUUGGCUGAGUCUGAGGUUUGAAAGAACUGAUCAGAGAAGAUCAAAUGGAUUUACCCUGUCAUAUGAGACGAUGAGAUAUUGAGAUUGAUUAUGCGCAUGACUGUGUGGAUUCAGUGAGUAGUAUGACAGGUGCAGGUCUCUGGAUGCUAAUUUCAAUACACGAGUCUUCUGGAAGUAUAGUCAAGUGUCUAUGUUUUGUGAGUCAGUAGAAGUCUAACAUGUGAAAGAUGAUUUAUUAAUUUUGAUAGACACUUGAUGGUUAUGUGAAAUGUUUAAGAAAUUGUAUGAGAGUUUAUAAAUUUUGUGUAUGAAUUUGAAAUUAAAUUAUAUAGAAAAAUUUGUUAUAGCUAGCUUACUCUGUUAUUUGUUUGUGUUUGUUUCUUUAUCUGUGAUGAUCGUGUUGUACACGGGAGCAGAUGAGAUUGCGGGUAAUAGAGCUCCUAAGUGAGCAGUUGGAGGAUGUGAUAGUUUUAAUUUGAAUGUUCUAUUUGUUUUUUUUUUAACUUUUGAUGUAUAUAUUAAAAUCCCUAUGAAGAGGGAUAUUUUUUUUUAGAUAUGAGAUAGUUAUAUAUAUGCAUAUCUUAAGGAGAUAACAUUUGUUUUACUUUUAUUUUAUUAUAUAUGGGGUAAAAGUUAGGGAUGUUACAAAGACACUUAUGUUUGACUAAAGCUUAUAAAAAUUAUGUUUUACAUUUUGUCUGGACACGGAAUUAAAACCAAAAAAAAAAAAAUCUAUUGAACUUUGAUCUAACAUGAAAUUUUAUGAUUUAAUUUCUAUAAUUUAAUUCAUUUUUAAAAGUUAUUUGUGUUUUAUCCAAAAAAAUAUUGAACAUAACAAACAAACCAAUUAGUUUUAACAAGCAAUAUAAUAAAGUAUAAGGAAAAUAACAAUUAAUAAAUUAAAAUUUCUAAAGAAAAGUAUAAAAAAAAACUAUUGAUUAUAAAAAAUAUUAAUUACAAAAAAAUUAUUCAAAAAAAAACUUCUAAUUCUAUCCUAAAUGUAAGAGAUAACAAAGAGUAAAAGAAAAUAUAAAAAAUUAGAUGAGAUAAGAUUGCAUUGAAUGCAUAUAAUUAUGACUUAUAAAAUUUUUAUAAAAUUAUUAAAUAAAAAUCAAUUUUAGAGAUAAAAUAUAUUUAGUUGUUAUACUGACUAAAUUAAAUAUUAUUAUUAUAAAAAUUAUUAGUCUUUAAAUUAAUUUCUAUUAGUGAUAAAUAAUUUUUAAAUUAAUAUAUAAUUAGAUACCAAAAUUUUAGAUGUUAACUUUAGAGUUUAAAUAAUUGGUAGUUAAAAUCUGGGUAACUAAUUAGAUAUCAAUUUAGAAAUUAUUUAUAAAAAGAAUAUAAACUAAUUCGAAACGGAUGAGAAAAAAAAAUGAAUGAGAGGUAAGAUAUGUAAGACAAACAAAUUUGGACCAAGGAAUUGUAGGAAGUUUUAAUCUUCUAAAAUCAUUUUUAACCUUGAUUCUAGUGUGUCAUUCUAAUUAGUUAAGUAAAAGGAGAGUGAUGCUAAAUUUUUUAUAUUAAUUUUAAUAAAUUUAUGUGUUUUAUUAGCCUUUUGUUUAUUUUCAAACUAUACCUUGUUUUACUUUCUUUAUUUUUUUAUACUCCUAUUAUUUACUUUUAUCUCAAGUUAUGCAUUUACUCUCUUUAUUUAUUUAUAAUUAUAUCAUUUAAUUUAUCUCUAGUUACAUACUAAUCUAUUUAUUAAUUUAUAGUCAUGUCAGUUAGUUUAUUACUAGAUAUUUCAUUUAGUUUAUUACUAGAUACACGCUAAUACUUUUUACUAGAUUUAUAAUUAUAUAUUAUGUUAUUUGAUUUAUAUCCAGUUACACUAGUCUAUUUUAUUAUAUUUAUAUUUGUAUCUUUUAGUUUAUCUCUCACUAGUCCUCUUUGUUAAAAUUAUGUCUAUAUAAUUUUAUUUAUCUUUAGUUUUACAGUGGUUUUUUUAUUUAAAUUUCUUGCUUUCAUUCUUAUUUCAAAUACUGGUUAUUUUUAAAAAUUCAAUCUAGAUCCAAUAAAAUGGAUUGGAUUAAAAUUCAAAUCCAUUUUAACAAGAUGAAAGUUAUUUGGAUUUUUUCAAAUCUAUUUAAAAAAGGUUAAAUCUAGAUUAAAUUCACUUUGUCUAUUAGAUUAAAUCCAUCUCGAUCUGAACAUAGACUGACUUAUCUUGACAUAGGCUCAAGCCGACUCGACUAGACCUAGACUUAGAUCAACUAGACUAGCCCUGAGUCAAGGCUGACUUGACUAGAUUUGAACUCUGACCGACUUGACUUGAUAUGGCCCAAGACGACUCGACUUCACCUGAGCUAGGAUCGACUCCACUCGACCUUUCACUCUGCAAAAAGAAAAAUUUGCAAAUUAAGAUAAAAACUAAAAAAAAAAAAACAAAUUUCAACUUCAAACAUAUCACAAUUUGACCAUAAACUAGUUGGUGGUAGGUCCAUAAACAAUUAAAAUAUUAACACUUUUUUGGAGAGUUUGGUGGUAGGUAAUAGAAAUAAAUCCUCUGUGUUGAUUAUGCGGAAGAACUCCUUGAAUGAUGAAAAGAACCUGUGAUGAGAAUGAUGCAGAGAUGAGAUGAAGGGAAGAUAAACCCUAAAAGGGUUGAAAGGUUCUGACCAGAGAAAAAAGCAAAAAAGUGAAUCGUAUUAUCAAAUUGAAUUAAGGGAGAGAAUACUGAAUUACAAAAAGGUACAAUCUGUAAAGUAAAAACCCACUAAAUCUAAGAUACAUGGUGACAGAAAUAAAAGAAGGCCCAAGGCUCCAAAGCCUAAACAACCCAAAAUAAUAAAAAAAUAUGCUAACUAACACCCCCCCCCCCUCAAGCUGGGAAUAGAUAUUUUGCAUUCCCAGCUUGGACUUGAGAGUAGUAAAGGUGGAAGCAACCAGUGGUUUAGUGAGGAUGUCAGCAGUUUGCAUGGAGGAAGUGAUUGGAAGCAGCUUGAGAAGACCAACAUUAAUUUUCUCUCGGACAAUAUGACAGUCAAUCUCUAUGUGCUUCGUUCGCUCAUGAAAAACCUGAUUUGAGGCAAUAUGAAUUGCUGACUGAUUGUCACAGAAUAGAAUUGCAGGUUCAAUGUAGGGGAUACCAAGAUCCUUAAGAAUGUAAGUCAGCCACUGAAUUUCACAAGUGGUUGCUGCAAGAGCUCUAUACUCGGCUUCUGAAGAACUUCUUGAGAUAGUAGGUUGUUUCUUGGACUUCCAUGAUAUAAGAGACUCACCCAAGAAAAUGGCAAAGCCAGUAACAAAUUUUCUGGUUUCAAAACAUGAGGCCCAAUCAGAAUCACUAUAGCCUCGAAGCUGGUUGUUACUGUUCUUGUGGAGAAAAAUUACCGAGCCAGGAUUACCCUUAAGGUACCUUAGGAUGCGAAAAACAGCUUGUUGAUGGUGCUUUGUAGGAGAAGAGACGAACUGACUUAAGUUGUUGACACUGAAGACUAUGUCAGGCCGCGUGUUGGUGAGAUAGAUCAGUCGUCCAAUAAGUCGGCGGUAGGUAGAUGAUUCUUUUUCAUUGAUUUGGACGUUGUCCGUGGAAGAAAGGCGAGAGGAAUGAGACAUGGGUGUAGGCAUGAGGGCACAAUCCAACAUUCCCGUUUCAUGAAGAAGAUCUAGAGUGUACUUUCUUUAACUGAUAUGUAAACCAGAUUUGUUGCGAGCCACUUCUAGUCCCAAGAAAUAUGCGAGGUCCCCUAAAUUUUUAAUUAUGAAUUGUUGAUCCAACAACUUAGUGAUAUGAGUGAUUUCCUCAUCAUCGUUUCCAGCAAGUACAAUAUCAUCCACAUACACAAGAAGAGCAGUGAGUUUAGUAUGAGUGUGUUUUAAAAAUAAUAAAUGAUCAGCAGAUGACAAUGUGUAAUUAUGUGAAAGCAAGAAAUUAGAUAAUUUGGCAUAUCAUUGUCGGCUAGCUUGACGAAGACCAUAAAGAGAUCUUUGGAGUUUGCAAACGUGGUUUGAUGAGGGGAGAGUGAGACCGGGUGGUGGCUGCAUAUACACUUUCUCAAGGAGAUCUCCAUGUAAAAAUGCAUUAUUGACAUUGAGUUGUUUGAGAAUCCAAUCAUUGGAAGCAACAACAGCAAGUAGUAGAUGCAAUGUUGUCAAUUUUGCAACAAGGGCAAAAGUAUCUAUGAAGUCAAGGCCUUCUAAUUGUGUGUACCCUUUGGCAACUAAGAGUGCCUUGUAUCGGUCAAUAGACCCGUCGGAUUUGUGCUUUAUCUUGUAAACACAACGACAGCCAAUAGUCGUCUUCCCAAGCGGAAGUGUGGUAAUCUGUCAAGUGUGAUUGGCAUCAAGUGCAGUCAACUCCUCUUGCAUAGCUUGUUUCCAGCAGGCAUGUUUCGAAGCUUCCCUGUAAGUGUGAGGCUCUGAAUGGGAAGAGAUAGAAAGAAUAGUGCAUUUAAAAGCAGGAGAUAAAGAUUUAUAAGAAACAAAAUUAUUAAUGGGAUAUUUAGUACUUACACUGUUUGUGGUUGUCAAAUCAGUUUGAAAAUCUGCAAGGUAUGCUGGUGCCUUUCUUUGUCUAUUUGAUCUCCUCAGUGGUAUUUUCAGAUCAUCAAUUUGUGUAUCAUCCAGGGUCUCUUCAUUUUGGUUAGGAUCCAUGUCCACAUCAAUUUGUGCAGUACCCAUAGUUUCAUGAGGAUGACAGUCAUUUUGAAAAGUAAUAUCACUACUUGAAUCAUAAUUGUGAGGAAUAGGCAAAGAAAGGUUGUUGGAAUUCAUACAGGAAUCUUUGUUCAAAUGAUAUGGAAAAUGGUUUUCAUAAAAGAUAAUAUUCCUUGAUACCUCAAUACUAUGAUUUUUAAGAUUUAGAAAAAUAUAUCCCUUUGUGUUGGAAGACAAACCGAGAAAGAUACCAUGCACAGAACGAUCAUCAAGUUUCUUUCUAUGUGCAGUGAGCGUGCUAGAGUAACACAAACAUCCAAAUACGCGUAAAGAAGAAAGAUCAUAUUGAUGAGAAUCAAAUAAAGGAGGCUUUUAUUAAAGAAGGAAGAGGUCAUUCACCUGCACAUUUGAAGUUUUUCCUUCUAGUCUUCUCAAAAUUAAAAGAAGACAUAAAAUAAAUAAAAGAAAUACAUAAAAUAAAGAUGAGGCCCAAGCCCAAGCCCAAGAAGGCCAAAGCCCAAAAAGCCCAAGUCCAUCCCAUGAGGGGCAAGGCCAAGCAUUAAAUAAAAGAGCAUCAUUUGAUUUACUCUUGUAGGAGGUGUGGAUAUUAAAUAAAGGAGUGUGAAUAUGUAAAAGAAAGUCACAUUGUCCAUGUGACUUAAGAGAAUAGGUGUAGGUGUAGUUUUUAGGAGGUGUCAUAGUAGAAAAAGGUCACACCUUCCAUGUGACUUGUUUUUUGUGGGAAUUUCAAAUGAGUUUCAUUUGAAUUUUCUCACCUAUUUUUCAACACCCUCACACUAUAAAUAGAGGUGUGGGCUCUUGUAAAAUUCAGAUUGGAAAUUGGCUAUAGAGAAACUCUACUCAAAUUGAGAGAGAAUUGUGUGAGAACUUUGUCUUCUCCUCUACCUUGUCUUAUCUUGAGUGCCUUGGUUCUCUCAAGUGGCGGCAUUUGCUCACUUAUCUUGGAGCCUUCACACUUCAAGUGGCGUGACCAUUAACCAAGCUCUCCAUCCUCAUAAGUUCUUCUCUCCUUCAUCUUUUCAUUUCAUUUCCAAGUUCAUCCGAUUUCAAAAACAUGUUUAGGUUCUUUCUAUUCGGUGUUUUAAGCUUAAAUUCUUGUACUGUUCGGUUCUUAUACUUUUUUGCUGGAUUCAAUUGUUUCUUCUUCAUUUCUUCUUAAUUUGUUUGGUGCAUUUAAGUUCUUAAGCUUUUUAAUCGGUGCAUUUGCUUUCUUGUUCAAUUUAGUCGGUUCAAUUGGCAAGAAAUGGGUCUUCCAUGUGAGUUUGGUGUUUGGUGCAAGUUUUGGUGAGUUCUUGAAACAUAGAACAUUGAUCCAAUUCUAUUAAAAGUGCCUAUUCAUUCUCCAACUCAAGUUGAUUCCAUAAAAUAUCAAAGAAUCAUUUACAUCUUGCUAGUGGAAUCAUAUCACAUAUGGUCUACCAUUCAAUUUUUCAUAGGGUGCAAUGUUGUGUAACAAAGGAGUGGGAGUGCAAUUGAUUAAAAAAAUAGCAUGUUGUACAACAAAAUUCCAGAAUAAAUGAGGUAAAUUUGCUUGAAAAAACAAGGCACGGGUAACAUUUAAAAUGUGUUGAUGUUUUCUUUCAACAAUACCAUUUUGUUCAGGUGUUUCUACACAUGUGGUUUGAUGAACAAUGCCUUUAGAAGAAAAUAAUUUUUUCAUGGCAAAUUCAGCACCAUUGUCAGUGCGAAUAGUUUUAACCGUAGUUUUAAACUGAUUUUCAACGUAAGCAAUGAAAUUAACAAUAUGAUUUCUAACUUCAGAUUUUGUGUGUAAAGAAAUAACCCAAGUAAAACGUGAAAAAUCAUCCACAAUGGUUAAAAAAUAUCUAAAACCGUGCAUUGAAAUGACAGAACAAGGACCCCAAAUGUCCAUAUGCAGUAAUUCAAAGAUGCUAGCAGUAUGAGAUUUACUUAAAGUAAAAUGGAGUUUCUUUUGUUUGGCACGAUGACAUACAUCACAUACAUGCGGUUUUAUAGUGCCACAGAUUAAUGUCUUUGACAGUAUAAUUGAAAGAAUGAGCAAUAGUGUGUGUAGCAGUAUUACGAAAAAAAGAAGAUUCAAAAGCAUACAAGCCAGCUUUGACACUAACUAUACCAAUCCUCUCUUUGGUUGUAUUGUCCUGUAUCAUAUAACUAUUGGAGGAGAAAAUUAAACUGCAGUUCAUAUUUAAAGAAAUUUUAGAAGUAGAUACAAGAUUAAAGGAAAGUCGAGGAACAUAUAAGACAUCAAUGAGGUAAAAUUUGUGAUUAAAAAUCACAGUUCCAGAAUAUUUUGCAAACACAUGAUGGCCAUUAGGUAGACUAAUAGAAAUAGGUUUAAUGCUUUUGUACGAAGUAAACUCAGAUAAAGAAGAACACACAUGAUCAGUUGCUCCUGAAUCUAGAAUCCAAUAAUUUCUACCAUGUUGUAAAUUAUUUAAGGUAAGAAUAUUACCAGUUGAAGACCUCUCUGCCAUUUUAUGAUUGGUGUCUGCAGUGAACGAGCCCACCUGAUUUACUUGAAUAUUGGUUGCAGUGUUAUUGUUGGUGCUUUGUCUAAACAAAUCUGACAAAACUUGAUAUUGUUGUGUUGUGAGGUGAUAUUCUCCUUUUUCUUGUUCUUUUUGGCAAGGCUCAGAAAGCACAUCAUCAGAUAUAACAAUAUUAUUAACCUGAUUGGUUUUACUACCAUAAAACUUGUAUCCAGGAGGAUACCCGUGUUUCUUGUAGCAAGUUUCUAUGGUGUGACCAUUUCUUCCACAGUGAGUACAUAUUUUCUUAUUCCCAUUAUUUUUGAAGGACUUAUUUUCUUGAUUAGGAAACCCAACCUUCCGAAAACAAACGUUCUCUGUAUGGCCAUUUUUACCACAAAAGGUGCAUAUCACAGAAGAAGAGAUGUGAUUAGAAUUAGCACUAUUAAUAUUUGAGACAGAAAGUUGUUGGCAGUUGACGUUCUUGUUGCACCACAAGAGAAAAAAAAAUUGUUAUAGGAGGUAUAGGCUCCAUAAGAAGUACAUGAGAUUUUAUGUUAUGAUAUUGUUCAUUUAACCCCCUUAGAAACUGCAUGGCCUGGUCUUCACAUUUUCUUUGAUUGAUAAGAGAAGUAAAAGCAAUAGAGCAAGAACAUUUUGUCUCACAAAUGCAUACAAGAUUAGGUCUAAAGUUUUCUAGUUCAUCCCAAAUUAUUCUCAGCUUAGUGAAAUAGUCAGUUACAGUCAAUUCACCUUGAUGUAAAAAAGCAACUCCCAUUUGUAAAUAUGAAAUUCUAGAUAAAUCCCCCUGAGAAAAUCUACUUUUCAAAUCAUUCCAUAUAUCUAAAGUUAUACCCAUCCAUACGAUGCUUUGUCUAAUGGGAAUAGAGACAGAAUGGACUAACCACGAGACGACCAUAUUGUUGCAUCUGUACCAAGCCGAGUAAGUGGGAUGGUUCUUGAGCGGACAUGGGCAUGUGCCAAGGACAAACUCCACCUCAUUUUUUGCGCUCAACGCCGUUAUAAUCGACAUACUCCAAGAGUGAUAGUUUGUAGAGUCCAACGCUGGCGAGACCAAAGGGACAACAGGGUUCUCACUGGGAUGGAGAUAAAGGCAGUUGUUCAUCAAGUUCAAUUGUUCCACCAAUUGAUUUGUUGCAUUCGGCUGAGACAAUUGCACCGUGGUUCCUUCAGUUCCAGCGGUUUCAGCCAUAUCUGAAAGAGAAACAAAAAAUUCAAGAUUUGGAACAAGAAAUCGUGAAGAACGAAAUUCAUAGAAGAAGACGAAAUUCAGAGUGCACAGCAGUGCUCUUCAAAGAAGACCUCUGAUACCAUAAUAGAAAUAAAUCCUCUAUGUUGAUUAUGCGGAAAAACUCCGUGAAUGAUGAAAAGAACUUGUGAUGAGAAUGAUGCAGAGAUAAAGGGAAGAUAAACCCUAAAAGGAUUGAAAGGUUCUGACAAGAGAAAAAGGAAAAAAAUGUGAAUCGUAUUAUCAAAUUGAAUCAAGAGAGAGAAUACUGAAUUACAAAAAGUAAAAACCCACUAAGAUGGCGACAGAAAUAAAAGAAGGCCCAAAGAGCCCAAAAUAAUAAAAAAAUAUGCUAACUAAUAGUAGGUCCGUAAACUAUUAAUAUAUUAAUACUUCUGAAGAGUUUGGUAGCGCACGUUGUCGGGACCCAAACAUAAAAUAUUAGAUUUUUAACUACCUUCUUCUCUUCCUUGAUCACACAACAGCAACCACUUACUAUUCUGGGAUCCAACACAACAAAAAAUGUCUGUUCCUGAAGCUGGUGUUCAUGUGGGUUUCCUCUCAAGUGCUGGCAUGGGUCACCUCAACCCAUGUCUGAGACUAGCAGCAGUGUUCCUCCGCCAUGGUUGCAAAGUCACUCUCUUCACUCCCAAACCCACUCUCUCUCUCGCUGAGUCAAACCUCAUCUCUGCUUUUUCUUCUUCUUUCCCUCAAGUAACUCACAUUCACUUCAACCUCACCCCUUUGGAUCCAANNNNNNNNNNNNNNNNNNNNNNNNNNNNNNNNNNNNNNNNNNNNNNNNNNNNNNNNNNNNNNNNNNNNNNNNNNNNNNNNNNNNNNNNNNNNNNNNNNNNCAUUCGUCGUUCGGUUCACCUUCUAUCUCCAACCCUAUCUUCUCUUUCCACUUCUCUCUCAGCUUUCAUCGUCGAUGUUUUCUUAAUUUCCCCUAUCGUCUCAAUUGCUCACAAACUCUUUUGCCCCGUUUUCAUUUACUUCACCUCCUCAGCUAGAAUGUUGUCUUUCAUUGCAUACGUUUCUGUUCUUGCUGAUUCCGAUCCGGCUGCACAACCGCACCCUUCUACGUUCGUUGGUGAUGCUGUUCAAAUCCCGGGUUUCACAUCGCCAAUACCAAGAUCAUCGGUCCCUCCCGCUUUUCUUCUUCAAGGUGGCAACUCCUUUCAGAGAAUGAUCAUGGAAGACAGUUGCAAACUCACGAAGCUCGAUGGGGUUUUCAUCAACUCGUUUGAGGAACUGGAAGGAGAGGCACUAGCAGCGUUGAAUGAAGGAAAAGUGGUUAGAGGGUUGCCCCCGGUGUAUGGAAUUGGCCCCUUAAUGGCGUGUGAGUUUGAGAGUGUAGAUCAAGGUCAAAGGGGUUGCAUGAGUUGGAUACUGGAGUGGCUUGAUGAACAAGCUGAAGGGUCUGUGGUGUAUGUUAGCUUGGGGAGCAGGACUGAGACAAGGAAGGAGCAGAUAAAGGACAUGGCUUUGGGGUUAACAGAAUGCGGGUAUAGUUUUUUGUGGGUGGUGAAGUUGAAGAAGGUUGACAUAGAAGAGGAGGAGGGUUUGGAGGAGGUGUUGGGGAGUGAGUUGAUGAGUAAGGUNNNNNNN
rnacentral:lncRNA from 1 species